ensembl:misc_RNA 7SK 7SK RNA
GGAAGUUAGGACCAUCUGGCUGCGACUUCUGUCACCCCAUGAUCACCAGGGUUCAUUCUGCUGAUCUGGCUGGCUAGGCGAAUGUCCCCUUCCUCCCUCAGCCUCCACAUGCAACCCUCCUGGAACUGCAUGCUUGGUCCAAGUGGAUGACCUUCCCUGCUUUCAGGUCAAGGGCAUGUAAGUGGCUGUGUUUCCCUGCCAGAACCUCCAAAUAUACUCUCAAGGUCCAUUUGUAGGAGAACGUAGUGUACUCAAGUUUCCACGACUCCAGAUACAUCCAGAUGAGGCACUGCAGGUACAUUCUGACUCCCACA